rnacentral:rRNA from 1 species
GAUGAACGCUGGCGGCGUGCUUAACACAUGCAAGUCGAACGGAAAGGCUCCUGCUUGCAGGGGUACUCGAGUGGCGAACGGGUGAGUAACACGUGGGUGAUCUGCCCAGCACUUCGGGAUAAGCCUGGGAAACUGGGUCUAAUACCGGAUAGGACGAUGGUUUGGAUGCCAUUGUGGAAAGUUUUUUCGGUGUGGGAUGAGCUCGCGGCCUAUCAGCUUGUUGGUGGGGUAAUGGCCUACCAAGGCGUCGACGGGUAGCCGGCCUGAGAGGGUGUACGGCCACAUUGGGACUGAGAUACGGCCCAGACUCCUACGGGAGGCAGCAGUGGGGAAUAUUGCACAAUGGGCGCAAGCCUGAUGCAGCGACGCCGCGUGGGGGAUGACGGCCUUCGGGUUGUAAACUCCUUUCGCUAGGGACGAAGCGCAAGUGACGGUAUCUGGAGAAGAAGCACCGGCUAACUACGUG